UUGAUUUAUUUGCUUGUGCCACUCAGAGAAUACGUGUAAUACACAAUGGUUUUUGGCCUCCGGCGGGCGCCUGGCCCGGGCACGAGGGCACCGGGGCGUAUCCGCCGAAGCAACGAAUGGUAAGAUUCACAGGGGUUUGGGAGUUGUAAACUCGGUAAUGAUCCCUCCGCUGGUUCACCAACGGAGA
rnacentral:misc_RNA from 1 species